UGCGUAGGUGGCGCCGUAAGUCGGGUGUGAAAUUUCGGAGCUUAACUCCGAAACUGCAUUCGAUACUGCGGUGCUUGAGGACUGGGAGAGGAGACUGGAAUUCAUGGUGUAGCAGUGAAAUGCGUAGAGAUCAUGAGGAAGACCAGUGGCGAAGGCGGGUCUCUGGACAGUUCCUGACACUGAGGCACGAAGGCCAGGGGAGCCGAAAAACCGGG
rnacentral:rRNA from 1 species